rnacentral:rRNA from 1 species
UACAGAGGUCUCAAGCGUUGUUCGGAUUCAUUGGGCGUAAAGGGUGCGUAGGUGGCGCGCUAAGUCAGGUGUGAAAUUUCGGAGCUUAACUCCGAAACUGCAUUUGAUACUGGCGUGCUUGAGGACUGGAGAGGAGACUGGAAUUCAUGGUGUAGCAGUGAAAUGCGUAGAGAUCAUGAGGAAGACCAGUGGCGAAGGCGGGUCUCUGGACAGUUCCUGACACUGAGACACGGAAGGCCAGGGGAGCAAACGGG